UGGUUGCAAACCAGCACAUCGAUGGGGCCCGCCUCGUCGAUUGCUCGAGCGACGGCGUCGGUGUCACGGACAUCAGCGCUGAGGACUGUAGCGUCAACGCCGGUGGCGAGUCGAAUGGCGUCGCGGGCUUCCUGGAGGCGGGCGAGGUUGCGGGCGAGGAUCGAGACGCGGGCGCCCUGGACGGCGGCGCAGCGGGCUAGGGCGAGGCCGAUGCCGCUGGAGCCGCCGGUUAUGAGGAUGUGGCGGCCUUUGAUGGGGAUCUUGACAGGGCGGGGACGGACGAGGAAAGAAAGAAUGAGGAGGAGGGAGAUCGGG
rnacentral:misc_RNA from 1 species